AUCCUUACUAAGGGCACUUUUCAGCCAGCUGAGGGAAAAGUGCUCCUGGUGAGGAAGG
rnacentral:pre_miRNA from 1 species